rnacentral:misc_RNA from 1 species
UUCCAGCAAUGUUCCUUUGUAUGCUUUGAUUUUCCACAGUAAUUAUUGUGUAAAUGAUCCUUAUCCGAUAGACCAUUAAGGGACGUGAUUGUUCUCGGGAGGAACCAGCUACUAACUUUGCCUUAUCAGUAGGUAAAGAAUGGAUCAUGACACUUCUACUUUCCUCCUACUAUACAUAUGAAUAAGUUUGCCUUAGGGAAGACAUGGGGUCCUUGCCAAGCACUUAGACCCCAAUCUAAUUAUACUCUAUGUCUAACCCAACAAGGAAGUCAUAGAUCCAUUCUUUUUCAAUCAAUUUUUGGAAUUUAACAGCAUCCGAAGUACAAGUG